rnacentral:rRNA from 1 species
GAGCGGGUGUAGCAAUACAUCAGCGGCAGACGGGAGAGUAACACGUGGGAACGUGCCCUUCAGUUCGGAACAACCCAGGGAAACUUGGGCUAAUACCGGAUACGUCCGUAAGGAGAAAGAUUUAUCGCUGAAGGAUCGGCCCGCGUCUGAUUAGCUAGUUGGUGGGGUAACGGCCCACCAAGGCGACGAUCAGUAGCUGGUCUGAGAGGAUGAUCAGCCUCACUGGGACUGAGACACGGCCCAGACUCCUACGGGAGGCAGCAGUGGGGAAUAUUGGACAAUGGGCGCAAGCCUGAUCCAGCCAUGCCGCGUGGGUGAUGAAGGCCCUAGGGUUGUAAAGCCCUUUCGGCGGGGAAGAUAAUGACGGUACCCGCAGAAGAAGCCCCGGCUAACUUCGUG